AUACGUAGGUGGCGAGCGUUGUCCGGAAUUACUGGGCGUAAAGGAUGCGUAGGUGGAUAUUUAAGUGGGAUGUGAAAUCCCCGGGCUCAACCCGGGAACUGCAUUCCAAACUGGGUAUCUAGAGUGCAGGAGAGGAAAGCGGAAUUCCUAGUGUAGCGGUGAAAUGCGUAGAUAUUAGGAGGAACACCAGUGGCGAAGGCGGUUUUCUGGACUGAAACUGACACUGAGGCAUGAAAGCGUGGGUAGCAAACAGGAUUAGAUCCCCUGGUAGUCCACGCCGUAAACGAUGGGUACUAGGUGUAGGAGGUAUCGACCCCUUCUGUGCCGUCGUUAACACAAUAAGUACCCCGCCUGGGGAGUACGGUCGCAAGACUAAAACUCAAAGGAAUUGACGGGG
rnacentral:rRNA from 1 species